rnacentral:sRNA from 1 species
AAACAACCUAGCAAAGAGGCUAUCUACUAAACCAUAUGAAUCCCUAAUGAGAAACUCUAACCCUAACAAGCAAACUACUCAG